rnacentral:rRNA from 1 species
UGGGGGAUAUUGCACAAUGGACGAAAGCCUGAUGCAGCGACGCCGCGUGGGGGAUGAAGGCUUUCGGGUUGUAAACCUCUUUCGCUAUCGAACAAGGCCCGCUUAGGGUGGGUUGAGGGUAGGUGGAGAAGAAGCGCCGGCUAACUACGUGCCAGCAGCCGCGGUAAUACGUAGGGCGCGAGCGUUGUCCGGAAUUAUUGGGCGUAAAGGGCUUGUAGGCGGCUUGUUGCGCCUGCUGUGAAAACGGGGGGCUUAACUUCGCGCGUGCAGUGGGUACGGGCAGGCUUGAGUGUGGUAGGGGUGACUGGAAUUCCAGGUGUAGCGGUGGAAUGCGCAGAUAUCUGGAGGAACACCGAUGGCGAAGGCAGGUCACUGGGGCAUUACUGACGCUGAGGAGCGAAAGCAUGGGUAGCGAACAGG